ACAGGAGCCCCAGCCCCACACAGCAACCACCCGGGCGAGAAAGAAAGAAAGAGCCAGGGAGGCGGGCGAAGCGCGGGGAGAGAAGCAGAGAAGAAAUAUUCACCUUCCCGCCUCAUGCCCACUUUGAGGCACUUCUUGAGGCGGCAGUAUUGGCACUGGUUGCGGUGGUGCUGGUCGAUGGGACAGUUCCUGUUGGCACGGCAUGUGUAAGUUAAGUUCCUGCGGACGCUCCUCUUGAAGAAACUUUUGCAGCCCUCGCAGACAGGGACUGAGAAACGGAAAUACUACCAUCCUCCAGCCAAUCUGUUGGGAGGACUGCUUGCAGAGGACUCGUGCUCCAGAUGUUGCACUAGAGGCGCUGCAAGUGUGAGCAGCAGGUAGAUGAAACUCAAGAGAAAAGGUGUGGAUAAAUGAAACUAGCCCAUGAUGAACCUGUUUUCUCCGUGACCACAAUAUUAACCAGGAUGAAUGGCGGUGGCAGUGGGCCUGCAUCACAGGUUGCAGCAGAUGUUCUCAAUAUUUCUAUUAAAAUUUCCUUAUUUCCAUAUGCAAGAGGAGCCCCAGAGCUGCAUCCUUAUGGUAGCUACCAUGCCGUGAUGUAAGCUGCCAUUCACUGGGGAGCUUUGGCAAUAGAAUUGGCUAGAUCAGGAAGCCUAUGUCAACUAUGGAACAACAACUUGCAGCUCAUCUCUAUUGAUGGACCUCUAACAAUGAUAUUGGAAGAAUAGAUACUAAGUCUUGGAGAGAUACACUGCCUCUAGGACUGGGACAGAUAGCCACUGAGUACCUGCUUCAAAUCACCCUGCACGUUUUCUCUUUGGAAAGAUAAGCACUGGAGAACCAUCUCGUUACCUUCAGCAGAAAUGGAAACAAAUCAAGACAUUAAGAAUGCCGCAGUGGACAGCAGUUAUGCAAGGUUCAGCAGAGGAAGUUUUCAAGAUGGUGUGCCUCACUAGCCAGAAAUCAGAAAAGAUCGAAGCUAGCCUUUUCAUCUCAGCUGCUCCUUAAAUCAGUGCAACCCCUCCAAAUUAAUGUGAAUUGAAACUUGCAUUGCUUUUCAACUUAAUUGAAUACUUACUAUAUGUGAACCACUGCACAAAAUAGGGGAAGAAGAUGUGGGAGACAAAGAUGUGGAGCCUGUCUUCAAUAAAUUUACAGUUAGUUUCAGGGUACAUUGUUUUUCUUCUGCUGUUAAUUAGGUGUAUCCCCAAGACAAUAAAUACAUGAAUGGAAAAGUAUAUUCUGUGUUUUAAGUCUCUUUAAUAAAAAACAAAACAAAAUCCAAAAAAACUCCUAACAUGGCAACUCAGGACAUUUUAAUCCUUUUUUUUGUUGUUGGGCUUCUGAUAGGAUCCAUUUUAUUGAUUCCAUAAAUAUUUAGUAGACUUUAGACAUAUUAAUACAUUGUAGUUUGAGUUAAUUUGCAUUAAAUUCUGUUUUUUUCCCCUUAGGUAUAGAUUGUCUGUUGGAAAAAUAUAUUGCUUGUGGAUUUCUUGGGGAGUGGGAAGGUGAAUUAUACCUGUUGUCUCUACAGUCCACUACCUUCCACACCCUAGGGCAGUGGUCCCCAACCUUCUUGGCACCAGGGAUCAGUUUCCUGGAAGACAAUUUUUCUGUGGAUGGUGUGGGGAUGGUUUUGGGAUGGAACUGUUCCACCUCAGAUCAUCAGGCAUUAGUUAGGCUCUCAUAACGAGUGCGCAGCCUAGAUCCCUCACAUGCACAGUUCACAGUAGGGUUUGCGCUGCUAUGAGAAUCUAAGGCUGCCACUGAUCUGACAGGAGGCAGAACUCAGGUGGCAAUGCUUACUGGCCCACUGCUCACCUCUUGCUGUGCGGCCUGGUUCCUAAUAGGCCAUGGACCCCCACAGACGGGUACUAGUCUGCAGCCUGUGGACCCCAGCCCUAGGGGCCUGCCAUUCUGAGUGAGUUAUUAGCAUGAAGAAGAGGAAGAUCUGGAUCAAACGUGGGUGAUGGUACUCAGAGACCCAAGAUAGGAUAGGGAUGGAACAAAAUCCAUCUGGGCAACGGCUCUAUGAAAAUUUGGCUAAGUAAUUAUUUCAGUAUUCAUUGUAUUCAUUGUCCUUCGUGUUCCAUAAGUUAAAUGACUGUCUAAUUUUUCCAAAAAUUUAUUUCUGACUUGAGAAUAAGUGUGUCAUGAUUUUCCCAGUGUAAAGACACUGAUAUAACUGUAGAUACCAGACAUUUUAUGUAGUGUCUAUGACACAUUUUAGUAUGUAUGAGCCAACAAUAGACAUGUCUUUGUCUUGAGGAGUGUCCAUCUGAAUUGAAAAUGUGUCAGCUUUUUUUUAACAUCAUCAACAGACUUCUUAAUUAAGCUGCCAAUACAUACUGCCAAUAGCACUGUGUGCUGUCUGAGAAAUGCAUUGUGUAAGUGCUAUUUCCAUCUUAUUAAAUAAACAAUGUUGCUCUGUAUAAACUGGAUUUAAAGUGUUCUUUGAAUGAGGCAUUAUAUUGCUCCAUAAAUAAUGUGAUGUGAAUUCUCAUAUGAUCCCUUUUAACUUAAUUUCUAAAAAAAUAUUAUUUGCUCCUCAGUAAGGAAUAGCUCUAAUUGGACUGGUAACUUUAGUGAUAUGAUUUGUCUGUAACAGGCUGAAUCGCCCCACUCCCAAACUCCUGGUCGUGAUACUGGAUAUUUGUUAUGCCACUUUUAGUUUGCAUGAGGUAUCUUCCAGGAAGUAUUAGUUAUUAACUUGUGUUCUACUAAACUGUAGAUAUUUAUUUCCUGUUCUGGAAGAUUUCUUGGAGUGUCCAUCUGUGCAUUCCUGGUGCCUAGUGUAGUCUUGCUAAUGGAAUAGCACCUUUAUUGGUGCUACUUAGGGGUUGGUAGCUUACAAUCAAUCUACUUGGAACGUAUCCAAAUAAACUGGAUAUUUUUAUACA
rnacentral:lncRNA from 1 species